GCCCCGAUAGCCCGGUGGUAACUCUCCCGCCUGCCGUGUGGACAACCCGGGUUCGAAUCCCGUCAUCAGGGCC